rnacentral:rRNA from 1 species
AUUGAACGCUGGCGGCAGGCCUAACACAUGCAAGUCGAGCGAGCGGCGGACGGGUGAGUAAUGUAUGGGAAACUGCCUGAUAGAGGGGGAUAACUACUGGAAACGGUAGCUAAUACCGCAUACCAUCAGAUGUGCCCAGAUGGGAUUAGCUAGUAGGUGGGGUAAUGGCUCACCUAGGCGAAGAUCCCUAGCUGGUCUGAGAGGAUGACCAGACACUAUGGAAGUGAGACACGGCCCAGACUCCUACGGGAGGCAGCAGUGGGGAAUAUUGCAAAAUGGGCGCAAGCCUGAUGCAGCCAUGCCGCGUGUGUGAAGAAGGCCCUCGGGUUGUAAAGUACUUUCAGCCGGGAGGCGUUACCCGCAGAAGAAGCACCGGCUAACUCCGUGCCAGCAGCCGCGGUAAUAC